UACAGAGGGUGCAAGCGUUGUUCGGAAUUAUUGGGCGUAAAGGGCGUGUAGGCGGUCUGCUAAGUCAUGUGUGAAAUCCCUCGGCUUAACCGAGGAACGACGCAUGAAACUGGCAAGCUAGAGUACCAAAGAGGGGGGUGGAAUUCCCGGUGUAGCGGUGAAAUGCGUAGAUAUCUGGAGGAAUACCGGUGGCGAAGGCGGCAUCCUGGACCGACAUUGACGCUGAACGGCGAAAGCUAGGGGAGCAAACGGG
rnacentral:rRNA from 1 species